rnacentral:rRNA from 1 species
GUGAAUCUGCCGGGACCACCCGGUAAGCCUAAAUACUUAGCAUGACCGAUAGUGGAUGUAGUACCGUGAGGGAAUGGUGAAAAGUACCCCGGGAGGGGAGUGAAAGAGUACCUGAAACCGUGUGCUGAUAAUCCGUCAUAGCCCCCCCUUUUUUUGUGGUGGGGUGGUGGCGUGCCUUUUGAAGAAUGAGCCUGCGAGUCAGUGGCAUGUUGCGUGGUUAACCAUGAGUGUGGGUAGCCGUAGCGAAAGCGAAUCCUAACUAGGGUGUGUGUGGCAUGUUCUGGACCCGAAGCGGGGUGAUCUACCCAUGGCCAGUGUGAAGCAGAGGUAAGACUUUGUGGAGGCGCGAACCCACUUAGGUUGAAAACUGAGGGGAUGAGUUGUGGGUAGGGGUGAAAGGCCAAUCAAACUCCGUGAUAGCUGGUUCUCCCCGAAAUGCAUUUAGGUGCAGCGUCGCAUGUGUGCUUGUUGGAGGUAGAGCUACUGGUUGGUUGAGCGGGACGAUAAUCUUAGCAACAUCAGCUAAACUCCGAAUGCCAGCAAUGUGUGUGCGGCAGUGAGACUGCGGGGGAUAAGCUCCGUUGGUCGAGAGGGAAACAGCCCAGAUCGUCGGUUAAGGCCCCUAAGGGUGUGCUCAGUGGGAAAGGAUGUGGGAUCGCGAAGACAGCCAGGAGGUUGGCUUAGAAGCAGCCAUCCUUGAAAGAGUGCGUAAUAGCUCACUGGUCGAGUGGUUCUGCGCCGAUAAUGUAGCGGGGCUUAAGCACACCGCCGAAACCGCGGCAACACACUGAAAGUGUGUUGGGUAGGGGAGCGUCGUGCAUGUGUUGAAGCUAGCUGGUGAUGGUUGGUGGAGUGUGUGCGAGUGAGAAUGCAGGCAUGAGUAACGAGUGAUGUGUGGGAAACAUAUCCGCCGGAUGACUAAGGGUUCCUGGGUGAAGUUUAUCUUCCCAGGGUGAGUCGGGGCCUAAGGCGAGGCCGACAGGCGUAGUCGAUGGAUAACGGGUUGAUAUUCCCGUACCCGUGUGCGUGCGACAAGUGAUGAAUCUUAUGGUACUAACCGCCCGCCUACGUGCACCGGUCUUUUUGGUUGGUGUGUGUGGGUGCGUGGGAUCUUCGUGGGUAGUAGUCAAGUGAUGGGGUGACGCAGAGUGGUAGCUAGGCUUCCUUAUUGGAUUGGAGUGCAAGCGUGUGGCCUGUGGGGUUGGGAAAUCCGCCCCACAUAGAAGGGUGAGGCGUGAUGCGGACACCAUGAUUUUGGUGGUAGUUAGUGUGCCUGUGCUGUCUAGAAAAGCCUCUAGCGAGUGCGUGCAUGGCCCGUACCGGAAACCGACACAGGUGGUCAGGUAGAGAAUACUAAGGCGUUCGGGUGAACUGUGGUUAAGGAACUCGGCAAAAUGCCCCCGUAACUUCGGGAGAAGGGGGACCACUACUAGUUGCUGACAGCGAAUUGGCUGGUGGUGGUCGCAGAGGAGAGAGGGAAGCGACUGUUUAUUAAAAACACAGGUCCGUGCGAAAACGUGGAAGUUGAGGUAUACGGACUGACGCCUGCCCGGUGCUGGAAGGUUAAGAGGACCCGUGAGCACGCUUUGUGUGCGAGGCGGAGAAUUGAAGCCCCAGUAAACGGCGGUGGUAACUAUAACCAUCCUAAGGUAGCGAAAUUCCUUGUCGGGUAAGUUCCGACCUGCACGAAUGGCGUAACGAC